rnacentral:rRNA from 1 species
GACGAACCGUGCGAACGUUAUUCGGAAUCACUGGGCUUAAAGCGCGUGUAGGCGGGAGGGCACGUCCGUUGCUGAAAUCCCCCGGCUCAACCGGGGAACGGGCGCGGAUACGACUCUCCUUGAGGGGCGUAGGGGGACCUGGAACUUCCGGUGGAGCGGUGAAAUGCGUUGAGAUCGGAAGGAACGCCCGUGGCGAAAGCGAGGUCCUGGACGCCUACUGACGCUGAGACGCGAAAGCGUGGGGAGCGAACAGG